CACCACGUUGAUAGGCUCGGUGUGGAAGCGCGGUAACGCGUGAAGCUAACGAGUACUAAUCGCUCCAUUGGCUUGAACAU
rnacentral:ncRNA from 1 species